rnacentral:rRNA from 1 species
UACGUAGGGUGCGAGCGUUGUCCGGAAUUAUUGGGCGUAAAGGGCUCGUAGGCGGUCUGUCGCGUCGGGAGUGAAAAACUCAGGGCUUAACCCUGAGCCUGCUUCCGAUACGGGCAGACUAGAGGUAUGCAGGGGGAGAACGGAAUUCCUGGUGUAGCGGUGGAAUGCGCAGAUAUCAGGAAGAACACCGGUGGCGAAGGCGGCUCUCUGGGCCUUACCUGACGCUGAGGAGCGAAAGCGUGGGUAGCGAACAGG